rnacentral:rRNA from 1 species
UACGUAGGGACCAAGCGUUGUCCGGAAUCAUUGGGCGUAAAGAGCGUGUAGGCGGCUUGUUAAGUCUUGCGUGAAAUCUCGGGGCUCAACCCCGAGCGGCGUGAGAAACUGGCAGGCUAGAGUGCGGGAGAGGAGAGUGGAAUUCCUGGUGUAGCGGUGAAAUGCGCAGAUAUCAGGAAGAACACCCGUGGCGAAGGCGGCUCUCUGGAACGCAACUGACGCUGAGACGCGAAAGCGUGGGGAGCAAACAGG